rnacentral:rRNA from 1 species
CCUACGGGUGGCUGCAGUGAGGAAUAUUGGUCAAUGGGCGCGAGCCUGAACCAGCCAAGUAGCGUGAAGGAUGACUGCCCUACGGGUUGUAAACUUCUUUUAUAAAGGAAUAAAGUGAGGCACGUGUGCCUGUUUGUAUGUACUUUAUGAAUAAGGAUCGGCUAACUCCGUGCCAGCAGCCGCGGUAAUACGGAGGAUCCGAGCGUUAUCCGGAUUUAUUGGGUUUAAAGGGAGCGUAGAUGGGUUUUUAAGGCAGUUGUGAAAGUCACCGGCUCAACCUAAAAAUUGCAAUUGAUACUGGUGUUCUUGAUGACUGGAGAGGCAGACGGAAUUCGGGGUGGAGCGGU